rnacentral:rRNA from 1 species
ACGAACGCUGGCGGCGUGCUUAGCACAUGCAAGUCGAACGGAAAGGCCCUGCUUUUGUGGGGUGCUCGAGUGGCGAACGGGUGAGUAACACGUGAGUAACCUGCCCUUGACUUUGGGAUAACUUCGGGAAACUGGGGCUAAUACCGGAUAGGAGCUCCUGCUGCAUGGUGGGGGCUGGAAAGUUUCGGCGGUUGGGGAUGGACUCGCGGCUUAUCAGCUUGUUGGUGGGGUAGUGGCUUACCAAGGCUUUGACGGGUAGCCGGCCUGAGAGGGUGACCGGCCACAUUGGGACUGAGAUACGGCCCAGACUCCUACGGGAGGCAGCAGUGGGGAAUAUUGCACAAUGGGCGGAAGCCUGAUGCAGCAACGCCGCGUGCGGGAUGACGGCCUUCGGGUUGUAAACCGCUUUCGCCUGUGACGAAGCGUGAGUGACGGUAAUGGGUAAAGAAGCACCGGCUAACUACGUG